CACGUAGGGCGCAAGCGUUGUCCGGAUUUAUUGGGCGUAAAGAGCUCGUAGGCGGUCUGUUGCGUCCGCUGUGAAAACCCGGGGCUUAACCCCUGGCUUGCAGCGGAUACGGACAGACUAGAGGUAGGUAGGGGAGAAUGGAAUUCCCGGUGUAGCGGUGAAAUGCGCAGAUAUCGGGAGGAACACCGGUGGCGAAGGCGGUUCUCUGGGCCUUACCUGACGCUGAGGAGCGAAAGCGUGGGGAGCGAACAGG
rnacentral:rRNA from 1 species